UACGUAGGGUGCAAGCGUUGUCCGGAAUUAUUGGGCGUAAAGAGCUCGUAGGCGGUUUGUCGCGUCUGCUGUGAAAACUCGGGGCUUAACCCCGGGCCUGCAGUGGGUACGGGCAGACUAGAGUGCGGUAGGGGAGACUGGAAUUCCUGGUGUAGCGGUGAAAUGCGCAGAUAUCAGGAGGAACACCGGUGGCGAAGGCGGGUCUCUGGGCCGUAACUGACGCUGAGGAGCGAGAGCAUGGGGAGCGAACAGG
rnacentral:rRNA from 1 species